GUUCGAGUAACUCAAUGGUAGAGUGUAACAUUGAAGCUGUUUUGGUUGUAAGUUCGAGUCUUACCUUGAACA
rnacentral:tRNA from 1 species